rnacentral:rRNA from 1 species
AGCAGCCGCGGUAAUUCCAGCUCCAAUAGCGUAUAUUAAAGUUGUUGCAGUUAAAAAGCUCGUAGUUGAAUUUCGGGAUCAAGGAAUCGGUCAUGCCUCGGUAUGUACUGGUUUUAUUGGUUCUCACCUUCUAAAGAACCAUAAUGUCAUUCAUUUGAUGUUAUGGGGAAUUAGGACUGUUACCUUGAAAAAAUUAGAGUGUUUAAAGCAGGCUUACGCUUGAAUACAUUAGCAUGGAAUAAUGAAAUAGGACAUCAGAUUCUAUUUUGUUGGUUUCUAGGAUCGAUGUAAUGAUUAAUAGGGAUAGUUGGGGGCAUUAGUAUUCAAUUGUCAGAGGUGAAAUUCUUGGAUUUAUUGAAGACUAACUACUGCGAAAGCAUUUGCCAAGGAUGUUUUCAUUAAUCAAGAACGAAAGUUAGGGGAUCGAAGACGAUCAGAUACCGUCGUAGUCUUAACCAUAAACUAUGCCGACUAGGGAUCGGAUGAUGUUAAUUUUAUAAUGACUCAUUC